rnacentral:rRNA from 1 species
CCCCAGACUCCUACGGGAGGCAGCAGUAGGGAAUCUUUCACAAUGGGCGAAAGCCUGAUGGAGCAACGCCGCGUGCAGGAUGAAGGCCUUCGGGUUGUAAACUGCUUUUAUAAGCGAGAAAUAUGAUGGUAACUUAUGAAUAAGGAUCGGCUAACUACGUGCCAGCAGCCGCGGUAAUACGUAGGGAGCGAGCGUUGUCCGGAAUUACUGAGUGUAAAGGGAGCGUAGGCGGGAUUGCAAGUUGGAUGUGAAAACUGCGGGCUCAACCCGGAGCGUGCAUUCAAAACUGCGAUUCUUGAGUGAAGUAGAGGCAAGCGGAAUUCCUAGUGUAGCGGUGAAAUGCGUAGAUAUUAGGAGGAACACCAGUGGCGAAGGCGGCUUGCUGGGCUUUUACUGACGCUGAGGCUCGAAAGUGUGGGGAGCAAACAGGAUUAGAUACCCUAGUAA